UACGUAGGGUGCAAGCGUUGUCCGGAAUUAUUGGGCGUAAAGAGCUCGUAGGCGGGUUGUCGCGUCUGUCGUGAAAGCCCACGGCUUAACCGUGGGUCUGCGGUGGAUACGGGCAGACUAGAGGCAGGUAGGGGAGAAUGGAAUUCCCGGUGUAGCAGUGAAAUGCGCAGAUAUCGGGAGGAACACCGGUGGCGAAGGCGGUUCUCUGGGCCUGUACUGACGCUGAGAAGCGAAAGCGUGGGGAGCGAACAGG
rnacentral:rRNA from 1 species